CACAGGUGCUGCAAACACAUGCAUCACUACUAAUAUCCCACUUCAGUGCUAUUGCUGCUCCCAAAACUCCAGCUGGCACACUUUUUCCAGUAGCCAUUCUACUUGGGAGAUUUGGACAUAGAGACAGGCACACGGGGAGGAUGCCAUAUGAGAAUUGACACUGUGCUGUCACAAGCCAAGGAACUACUGGAAGGAGAGAAAGAGGACUGGAA
rnacentral:lncRNA from 1 species